rnacentral:rRNA from 1 species
GUAGGGGAUCGCAAGACCUUGCGCUUUUGGAGCGGCCGAUGCCUGAUUAGCUUGUUGGUGAGGUAAAGGCUUACCAAGGCUUCGAUCAGUAGCUGGUCUGAGAGGACGACCAGCCACACUGGGACUGAGACACGGCCCAGACUCCUACGGGAGGCAGCAGUGGGGAAUUUUGGACAAUGGGGGCAACCCUGAUCCAGCCAUGCCGCGUGAGUGAAGAAGGCCUUCGGGUUGUAAAGCUCUUUCAGCCGGAACGAAACGGUUACGAUUAAUACCCGUAACUACUGACGGUACCGGAAGAAGAAGCACCGGCUAACUACGUGCCAGCAGCCGCGGUAAUACGUAGGGUGCGAGCGUUAAUCGGAAUUACUGGGCGUAAAGCGUGCGCAGGUGGUUUUGUAAGUCAGAUGUGAAAUCCCCGGGCUUAACCUGGGAACUGCGUUUGAAACUACAAGGCUAGAGUGUGGCAGAGGGGGGUGGAAUUCCGCGUGUAGCAGUGAAAUGCGUAGAGAUGUGGAGGAACACCGAUGGCGAAGGCAGCCCCCUGGGUCAACACUGACGCUCAGGCACGAAAGCAUGGGGAGCAAACAGGAUUAGAUACCCUGGUAGUCCAUGCCCUAAACGAUGUCAACUAGUUGUCGGGUCUUAACGGGCUUGGUAACGUAGCUAACGCGUGAAGUUGACCGCCUGGGGAGUACGAUCGCAAGAUUAAAACUCAAAGGAAUUGACGGGGACCCGCACAAGCGGUGGAUUAUGUGGAUUAAUUCGAUGCAACGC